GACGAACGCUGGCGGCGUGCUUAACACAUGCAAGUCGAACGGAAAGGCCUCUUUCGGGGGGUACUCGAGUGGCGAACGGGUGAGUAACACGUGAGUAACCUGCCCUUGACUUUGGGAUAACUUCAGGAAACUGGGGCUAAUACCGGAUAGUCGUUCCUGCUGCAUGGUGGGGGUUGGACAGUUUAGGCGGUUGGGGAUUGAUUCGCGGCUUUUCCGCUUGUUUGGGGGGUAGUGGCUUCCCAAGGCGUUUCCGGGUCUCCGGCCUGAGAGUGUGAAAGACGAUAGUGGGACUGAGAGGCGGCCCAGACUCCGACGGGAGGCAGCAGUGGGGAAUAUUGCACAAUGGGUGGAAGGCUGAUGCAGCAACGCCGUGUGCGGGAUGACGGCCUUCGUGGGGUAAACCGCUUUCGCGCAUGACGAAGCUUUGUGUGACGUUAGUGGGUAAAGAAGCACCGGCUAACUACGUG
rnacentral:rRNA from 1 species